UGUGCUCCAGGACAAUUUUUAUUCGCGUUUGAGACGAACACCAGGCAAGCAAGCUGUAAACCUUGGCAGCUGCCCAGAGGAGGGAGAUGGAGGAAAGAAAAAAAUCACAGGGCUUGAAAGCAACCUCCUGGAUGGAGGUGGGGGUGGGGGGUAGCUUCAGAGAAACAGCGAGGAAACCCAAGGAAGGCAGGGCCAGACUUUGGGAGAAGAGAAAGAAGUUACAUUUCCCAGAGUGACCCAGAAUGCUCAGCUCACAGUGGCAACCCCACUGUGACUGACCACUUGGGCUGUCUUAUCUACCAUUUUUUUUUUUAAUACUGUGAAUGACAGUUCCUGGAAAGAACUGCACGUUCCUUGGAGCCUUCUGCAAGGCUGAUGAGCUGCUCAGAGCCGCAGUGAUGUGGAGCAGUUGGAAUGUGGCGAGUCCAGAAUCAAGCUAUCCUGGGGCAUCUUUUUGCUCCCUUUAUGGCCGUUCAUUAUACUCCUCUGCAUAUGACUUAACAACUUUGUGACCAUUAGGUAAAUCCUUUGGAAUGUAUGAAUAGAUCUCUACCUUAGCUUCCAACCAACCAAAGGGCAAAGAAUGGCAGCUGAUAGCAUCUGAGGCCUAUGUGGUUUCCCCUGCUUUGCCGUGACCCCCUUACCUAGUGUUCUUACCAAUGCCUUUGCAAGUGCUUUGAUUUAUGACUUUGUUUGUUCUGUUGCUAUAAAAACGUCAUCGGACGGUUACCACAU
rnacentral:lncRNA from 1 species